GACAGAGGUGCCGAGCGUUAGGCGGAAUCACUGGGCUUAAAGCGUGUGUAGGCGGAUCGUUAAGUGCCUUGUGAAAUCCCACGGCUCAACCGUGGAACUGCUUGGCAUACUGGCGGUCUUGAGCCACUUAGGGGCUACCGGAACAAAUGGUGGAGCGGUGAAAUGCGUAGAUAUCAAGAGGAACACCUGAGGUGAAGACGGGUUGCUGGGCCAACACUGACGCUGAGGCGCGAAAGCCAGGGGAGCAAACGGG
rnacentral:rRNA from 1 species